AUACGGAGGGGGUUAGCGUUGUUCGGAAUUACUGGGCGUAAAGCGCACGUAGGCGGACUGGAAAGUUGGGGGUGAAAUCCCGGGGCUCAACCCCGGAACUGCCUCCAAAACUUCCAAUCUAGAGAUCGAGAGAGGUGAGUGGAAUUCCAAGUGUAGAGGUGAAAUUCGUAGAUAUUUGGAGGAACACCAGUGGCGAAGGCGGCUCACUGGCUCGAUUCUGACGCUGAGGUACGAAAGUGUGGGGAGCAAACAGGAUUAGAAACCCGUGUAGUCC
rnacentral:rRNA from 1 species